GAUGAACGCUGGCGGCGUGCUUAACACAUGCAAGUCGAACGGGAAAUAUUUCAUUGAGACUUCGGUGGAUUUGAUUUAUUUCUAGUGGCGGACGGGUGAGUAACGCGUGGGUAACCUGCCUUAUACAGGGGGAUAACAGUCAGAAAUGGCUGCUAAUACCGCAUAAGCGCACAGAGCUGCAUGGCUCAGUGCGAAAAACUCCGGUGGUAUAAGAUGGACCCGCGUUGGCUAGCUUGUUGGUGAGGUAACGGCCCACCAAGGCGACGAUCCAUAGCCGGCCUGAGAGGGGGAACGGCCACAUUGGGACUGAGACACGGCCCAGACUCCUACGGGAGGCAGCAGUGGGGAAUAUUGCACAAUGGGGGAAACCCUGAUGCAGCGACGCCGCGUGAAGGAAGAAGUAUCUCGGUAUGUAAAGCUCUUUCACCGGGGAAGAUAAUGACGGUACCCGGAGAAGAAGCCCCGGCUAACUUCGUGCCAGCCGCCGCGGUAA
rnacentral:rRNA from 1 species